rnacentral:rRNA from 1 species
UACGAAGGGGGCUAGCGUUGUUCGGAUUUACUGGGCGUAAGGCGCACGUAGGCGGAUUGUUAAGUCGGGGGUGAAAUCCUGGAGCUCAACUCCAGAAUUGCCUUCGAUACUGGCUUUCUAGAGGCUGGAAGAGGUUAGUGGAAUUCCCAGUGUAGAGAUGAAAUUCGUAGAUAUUGGGAAGAACACCAGUGGCGAAGGCGGCUAACUGGUCCAGAUCUGACGCUGAGGCGCGAAAGCUAGGGGAGCGAACGGG